AGAGUUUGAUCCUGGCUCAGGACGAACGCUGGCGGCGUGCUUAACACAUGCAAGUCGAACGAGAGCGUAGAGAAAGCUUGCUUUUUCUACAAUCUAGUGGCAAACGGGUGAGUAACGCGUAAACAACCUGCCCUACGGAUGGGGACAACAGCUGGAAACGGCUGCUAAUACCGAAUACGUUCCGAAAGUCGCAUGACUAUCGGAAGAAAGGAUGGCCUCUAUUUAUAAGCUAUCGCCGGAGGAGGGGUUUGCGUCUGAUUAGCUAGUUGGAGGGGUAACGGCCCACCAAGGCGACGAUCAGUAGCCGGUCUGAGAGGAUGAACGGCCACAUUGGAACUGAGACACGGUCCAGACUCCUACGGGAGGCAGCAGUGGGGAAUCUUCCGCAAUGGGCGAAAGCCUGACGGAGCAACGCCGCGUGAGUGAAGACGGCCUUCGGGUUGUAAAGCUCUGUUAUACGGGACGAAUAAUCUUGUGGUUAAUACCCAUAAGAAGUGACGGUACCGUAAGAGAAAGCCACGGCUAACUACGUGCCAGCAGCCGCGGUAAUACGUAGGUGGCAAGCGUUGUCCGGAAUUAUUGGGCGUAAAGCGCGCGCAGGCGGAUUGGUCAGUCUGUCUUAAAAGUUCGGGGCUUAACCCCGUGAUGGGAUGGAAACUGCUGAUCUAGAGUAUCGGAGAGGAAAGUGGAAUUCCUAGUGUAGCGGUGAAAUGCGUAGAUAUUAGGAAGAACACCAGUGGCGAAGGCGACUUUCUGGACGAAAACUGACGCUGAGGCGCGAAAGCCAGGGGAGCGAACGGGAUUAGAUACCCCGGUAGUCCUGGCCGUAAACGAUGGGUACUAGGUGUAGGAGGUAUCGACCCCUUCUGUGCCGGAGUUAACGCAAUAAGUACCCCGCCUGGGGAGUACGACCGCAAGGUUGAAACUCAAAGGAAUUGACGGGGGCCCGCAC
rnacentral:rRNA from 1 species